rnacentral:rRNA from 1 species
GGGCGAACGCUGGCGGCGUGCUUAACACAUGCAAGUCGAGCGGUAAGGCCCUUUCGGGGGUACACGAGCGGCGAACGGGUGAGUAACGCGUGGAUGACCUGCCCUUUAGUGGGGAAUAACCCGGGGAAACUCGGGCUAAUACCGCAUAAGACCGAGAGGUGAAAGCGGGGUCGCAAGAUCUCGUGCUAAUGGAGGGGUCCGCGUUCGAUUAGCUAGUUGGUAGGGUAAUGGCCUACCAAGGCGACGAUCGAUAGCCGGCCUGAGAGGGUGAUCGGCCACACUGGAACUGAGACACGGUCCAGACUCCUACGGGAGGCAGCAGUGGGGAAUCUUGCGCAAUGGGCGAAAGCCUGACGCAGCGACGCCGCGUGAAGGAUGAAAUCCCUCGGGAUGUAAACUUCGCAAGAACGGGAAGAAUAAGCGAG